rnacentral:rRNA from 1 species
AACAGCUCAAAUUUGAAAUCUGGCGUCUUUGGCGUCCGAGUUGUAAUUUGCAGAGGGCGCUUUGGCAUUGGCAGCGGUCCAAGUUCCUUGGAACAGGACGUCACAGAGGGUGAGAAUCCCGUACGUGGUCGCUAGCCUUUACCGUGUAAAGCCCCUUCGACGAGUCGAGUUGUUUGGGAAUGCAGCUCUAAAUGGGAGGUAAAUUUCUUCUAAAGCUAAAUACUGGCCAGAGACCGAUAGCGCACAAGUAGAGUGAUCGAAAGAUGAAAAGCACUUUGGAAAGAGAGUUAAAAAGCACGUGAAAUUGUUGAAAGGGAAGCGCUUGCAGCCAGACUUGCCUGUAGUUGCUCAUCCGGGUUUUUACCCGGUGCACUCUUCUAUAGGCAGGCCAGCAUCAGUUUGGGCGGUUGGAUAAAGGUCUCUGUCACGUACCUCCUCUCGGGGAGAACUUAUAGGGGAGACGUAAUGCAACCAGCCUGGACUGAGGUCCGCGCAUCUGCUAGGAUGCUGGCGUAAUGGCUGUAAGCGGCCCGUCUUGAAACACGGACCAAGGAGUCUAACAUCUAUGCGAGUGUUUGGGUGUCAAGCCCGAGCGCGUAAUGAAAGUGAACGGAGGUGGGAACCUUUCGGGGUGCACCAUCGACCGAUCCUGAUGUCUUCGGAUGGAUUUGAGUAAGAGCAUAGCUGUUGGGACCCGAAAGAUGGUGAACUAUGCUUGAAUAGGGUGAAGCCAGAGGAAACUCUGGUGGAGGCUCGCAGCGGUUCUGACGUGCAAAUCGAUCGUCAAAUUUGGGCAUAGGGGCGAAAGACUAAUCGAACUAUCUAGUAGCUGGUUCCUGCCGAAGUUUCCCUCAGGAUAGCAGUAACGUUUUCAGUUUUAUGAGGUAAAGCGAAUGAUUAGAGGCCUGGGGGUUGAAACAACCUUCACCUAUUCUCAAACUUUAAAUAUGUAAGAAGUCCUUGUUACUUAAUUGAACGUGGACAGUUGAAUGUAUCGUUACUAGUGGGCCAUUUUUGGUAAGCAGAACUGGCGAUGCGGGAUGAACCGAACGCGGGGUUAAGGUGCCAGAAUAUACGCUCAUCAGACACCACAAAAGGUGUUAGUUCAUCUAGACAGCAGGACGGUGGCCAUGGAAGUCGGAAUCCGCUAAGGAGUGUGUAACAACUCACCUGCCGAAUGAACUAGCCCUGAAAAUGGAUGGCGCUCAAGCGUAUUACCCAUACCCCGCCGCUG